ensembl:snRNA
CUGUUGUUUGAGAGGAGAGAAGGUUAGCACUCGACUUGACAAGGAUAGAAGAGCCUUUGGUGACCUUCAGCGCACAUACGACUAAUGCAUUGCCACCUUCUCUCUCACCAUGAUCGGGGUGGUUU